rnacentral:rRNA from 1 species
AGAGUUUGAUUAUGGCUCAGGAUGAACGCUGGCGGCGUGCCUAACACAUGCAAGUCGAACGGAACCUUUACGAACGAGGCUUCGGCCAAGUUGUUCUGGUUUAGUGGCGGACGGGUGAGUAACGCGUGAGCAACCUGCCUUUCAGAGGGGGAUAACGUUUGGAAACGAACGCUAAUACCGCAUAACGUAGGGAUAUCGCAUGGUAACCCUACCAAAGAUUUUAUCGCUGAAAGAUGGGCUCGCGUCCGAUUAGGUAGUUGGUGAGGUAACGGCCCACCAAGCCGACGAUCGGUAGCCGGACUGAGAGGUUGAACGGCCACAUUGGGACUGAGACACGGCCCAGACUCCUACGGGAGGCAGCAGUGGGGAAUAUUGCACAAUGGGCGCAAGCCUGAUGCCAGCAACGCCGCAUGAGGGAAGACGGUUUUCGGAUUGUAAACCUCUGUCUUUGGUGACGAAGAAGUGACGGUAGCCAAGGAGGAAGCCACGGCUAACUACGUGCCAGCAGCUGC